UACGUAGGGUCCGAGCGUUAAUCGGAAUUACUGGGCGUAAAGCGUGCGCAGGCGGUUUUGUAAGCCAGAUGUGAAAUCCCCGGGCUCAACCUGGGAACUGCAUUUGGGACUGCAAGGCUGGAGUACGGCAGAGGGAGGUGGAAUUCCAGGUGUAGCAGUGAAAUGCGUAGAGAUCUGGAGGAACACCGAUGGCGAAGGCAGCCUCCUGGGCUAGUACUGACGCUCAUGCACGAAAGCGUGGGGAGCAAACAGG
rnacentral:rRNA from 1 species